rnacentral:rRNA from 1 species
UACGUAGGGGGCAAGCGUUGUCCGGAAUUAUUGGGCGUAAAGAGCGUGUAGGCGGCCAGAUAAGUCCGCUGUGAAAUCUCGAGGCUCAACUUCGAGCUGUCGGUGGAAACUAUCUGGCUAGAGUCCGGAAGAGGAGAAUGGAAUUCCUGGUGUAGCGGUGAAAUGCGCAGAUAUCAGGAAGAACACCCGUGGCGAAGGCGGUUCUCUGGGCCGUAACUGACGCUGAGGAGCGAAAGCAUGGGGAGCGAACAGG